UACGUAGGGGGCAAGCGUUGUUCGGAAUUACUGGGCGUAAAGGGCGCGUAGGCGGCUCGGCAAGUCAGGAGUGAAAGCCCUGGGCUCAACCCGGGAACUGCUUUUGAAACUGCCGAGCUAGAGUGCGGAAGGGGCAACUGGAAUUCCCAGUGUAGCGGUGAAAUGCGUAGAUAUUGGGAAGAACACCUGAUGCGAAGGCGGGUUACUAGGCCGACACUGACGCUGAUGCGCGAAAGCCAGGGGAGCGAACGGG
rnacentral:rRNA from 1 species